rnacentral:rRNA from 1 species
UGGGGAAUAUUGCACAAUGGGCGCAAGCCUGAUGCAGCCAUGCCGCGUGUGUGAAGAAGGCCUUCGGGUUGUAAAGCACUUUCAGCGGGGAGGAAGGCGAUAAGGUUAAUAACCUUGUCGAUUGACGUUACCGACAGAAGAAGCACCGGCUAACUCCGUGCCAGCAGCCGCGGUAAUACGGAGGGUGCAAGCGUUAAUCGGAAUUACUGGGCGUAAAGCGCACGCAGGCGGUUGAUUGAGUCAGAUGUGAAAUCCCCGGGCUUAACCCGGGAAUUGCAUCUGAUACUGGUCAGCUAGAGUCUUGUAGAGGGGGGUAGAAUUCCAUGUGUAGCGGUGAAAUGCGUAGAGAUGUGGAGGAAUACCGGUGGCGAAGGCGGCCCCCUGGACAAAGACUGACGCUCAGGUGCGAAAGCGUGGGGAGCAAACAGG